rnacentral:rRNA from 1 species
AUGGAGGGUACUCAUAGGAUACUUGUCUAUGAAUAUUUGAACAAUGGAAACCUAGAGCAAUGGCUUCAUGGAGCUAUGAGUCACCGGGGCUCCCUUACAUGGGAGGCCCGCAUAAAGAUUCUUCUAGAGACAGGUAAGGCGUUUGCUUACUUGCAUGAGGCAAUUGAACUAAAAGUCGUGCAUCGUGAUAUCAAGUCUAGCACUACUUUGAUUGAUGAUGAUUUUGAUGCUAAAGUAUCAUAUUUUGGUUUAGCCAAGCAUCUUGGUGUCGGCAAGAGUCAUGUAACUACUCGGGUUAUGGGAGCCUUCGGUUAUGUGGCACCAGAAUAUGCAAACACUGGACUGUGA